rnacentral:rRNA from 1 species
AGUGAACGCUGGCGGUAGGCCUAACACAUGCAAGUCGAACGGCAGCACAUUAAGAGCUUGCUCUUACGGGUGGCGAGUGGCGGACGGGUGAGGAAUACAUCGGAAUCUACUUUUUCGUGGGGGAUAACGUAGGGAAACUUACGCUAAUACCGCAUACGACCUACGGGUGAAAGCAGUGGAUCUUCGGACCUUGCGCGAUUGAAUGAGCCGAUGUCGGAUUAGCUAGUUGGCGGGGUAAAGGCCCACCAAGGCGACGAUCCGUAGCUGGUCUGAGAGGAUGAUCAGCCACACUGGAACUGAGACACGGUCCAGACUCCUACGGGAGGCAGCAGUGGGGAAUAUUGGACAAUGGGCGCAAGCCUGAUCCAGCCAUACCGCGUGGGUGAAGAAGGCCUUCGGGUUGUAAAGCCCUUUUGUUGGGAAAGAAAAGCAGCAGGUUAAUACCCCGCUGUUCUGACGGUACCCAAAGAAUAAGCACCGGCUAACUUCGUG